AGCCUUUGACAUCCUGGUCGCGGAUUAGAGAGAUCUUUUCCUUCAGUUCGGCUGGACCAGUGACAGGUGCUGCAUGGCUGUCGUCAGCUCGUGUCGUGAGAUGUUGGGUUAAGUCCCGCAACGAGCGCAACCCUCGUCCUUAGUUGCCACCAUUUAGUUGGGCACUCUAAGGAAACUGCCGGUGAUAAGCCGGAGGAAGGUGGGGAUGACGUCAAGUCCUCAUGGCCCUUACAGGCUGGGCUACACACGUGCUACAAUGGCGGUGACAGUGGGCAGCGAGCACGCGAGUGUGAGCUAAUCUCCAAAAGCCGUCUCAGUUCGGAUUGUUCUCUGCAACUCGAGAGCAUGAAGGCGGAAUCGCUAGUAAUCGCGGAUCAGCAUGCCGCGGUGAAUACGUUCCGCAGGCCU
rnacentral:rRNA from 1 species